AAGAAAACAGCAGCGGAAUUAACGGUCUAGCGAUGGCUUCAGCUCCACUCCCACAUGCAGCUCAACUGGGGUAUAAGCCAAACGUCUUCUCCUUCUGGAUCCUUUAUCUUCAACUGAGGUUUGAUGAUUAUUGCAAGAAUGAGCAUAUGACAUACUCAACAAGCCACACAGCAAAUAUGCAAGUGCACAAGGAUACCAAAGGAUGGCAUAAUAUAGGCUCAUUUGCAAAAGCAGCAUUUAGCAAAACAUUUAAGAGUAGUAAAACAGUAGAGUAAUUAAUUAAAAAUUUUAAUCAACACUGAACAGCACACCCAUGCUGCACAGGCCCAACCAUCCUGAACAACCAUACCCGGCUGUACAGAUCUAACUCCAAACCAGGAGCUAAGCAAAUUAUUACCAGGUAUAACAUCCAUAAUUAUUGUGAGAGGUGUGAGACUAAUCACGAAAAACAUUGCUCAACCCACCCAUAACCGCGGGCACGGCUAUUCGAAUAGUUUUACUCUGGCCAGAGGUGUACCACUGUACCCACAAGACACAACCCCACAUCAUGUCACCAUGUGCCUCAAUACCACCACGGUACCUCGGAAAAGAGUUGUGACAAUACCCCUUGCACAACAUAAUCCAUUACAGCGCACCUUUCCUGGAUCAUAAUCACCCCCUCAAAAACCAGAGGCAUGGACUCCCCAGCGACCCCCGUGGACUUCUCGCCACUUCUCAGUCUGGCGCACUAUAAUGAAUCACGCUAUACAAAAGAUAAAGCCGUUGCCCACGCUGGCUUGUGGUUGGCACGAUAAAUGUUUCACAACAGUAGCUCGCGAACCGGUCCUUAAUUGUCAUGAGCACGACUCUCAAAACCAUGUGCUCACAACCCACCAUUAUCAAGUUUUAGUUGGCAAGUAAUUAAUUAACCAAUCACGAUUGACCAUCGUGAACUAUCAUUAAGCCAUCCUUAAAUAAUAGUGAGUCAUAAGUUAUCCCAAUAGUGUGCUAAUGUUUCUAAGCAUGGCUAAGCAAUCAUAACUAAUAUCUAGCUGAACCAAUAUAUAAAGCCCAACUAGUCAAGUUAUAAUAACCCAAGGUAUCAAGGAAUAAAGUAAUCAAUGCAAAUUGGCCAUAACAAAGGAAUAAGUUCACACCACCCGGUGACAUUCGAAAAUAAAUGCACAGUUGAAAUAAAUAGAGAAUUUAAAUAUAGGAUCAACAUGCUCAAAGGAUUGUGUUUAGGAUCUGUGUGACUUGCCUUGCAAUAAUCGGUCUUCAAGUAAUCUUCUUGAUCACUUCCGACGCACUCACGAACCUUCGCAACGACGGAAACGACAAGCUAACACGCAAAACGAAGAAAAAGACUAAUAAAAACCAAAUAAACAGUACAUAUAAAGUAAACAAACAUGUAGAUCAUGAUUUUAGAUGAAUUUAGCAACUUGAACCACUCAAAACCGAGUUACGAUGAUUUAGUUAUGAAUUUCCGAAGAUUUAAUCUAUUAGAAAAACAGGAAAAAGAAAAACGAUGAUGACAUCAUGAUGACCUCAUCAAUGGCCGGACCAAGAUGGCGACCUCGCCGGAGAUUGGAUGGUCGGCUGCGACUUUGGAGGACAUGUACACGUAGAGGACGACGAGACGAACCCAACGGUACUCACCCUCGAACCAAACGACGAACGACGACGGCCGGCGACGAGGUCUAGCGGCGGCACGGCUUCGGUCGACGGCGGCGACGGGGCUCCGGUGACCGGCGACAGCGGGGAGAGAGCGGCCGGGCUUCUCCACCCUCCCGCGCACCUUACGGCGGUGACAGCGACCGGCGGCG
rnacentral:lncRNA from 1 species